AAAAAAUAGGGGUUGUAGGGGAUGAAAAAUCCCCUGCCGCCUUCAGGAAGGUGCUCAGACAGCUUUGCUGUCGUCGACGCUCUU
rnacentral:sRNA from 1 species